GACGAACGCUGGCGGCGUGCCUAAUACAUGCAAGUUGAGCGCUGAAGGUUGGUACUUGUACCAACUGGAUGAGCAGCGAACGGGUGAGUAACGCGUGGGGAAUCUGCCUUUGAGCGGGGGACAACAUUUGGAAACGAAUGCUAAUACCGCAUAAAAACUUUAAACACAAGUUUUAAGUUUGAAAGGUGCAAUUGCAUCACUCAAAGAUGAUCCCGCGUUGUAUUAGCUAGUUGGUGAGGUAAAGGCUCACCAAGGCGAUGAUACAUAGCCGACCUGAGAGGGUGAUCGGCCACAUUGGGACUGAGACACGGCCCAAACUCCUACGGGAGGCAGCAGUAGGGAAUCUUCGGCAAUGGACGAAAGUCUGACCGAGCAACGCCGCGUGAGUGAAGAAGGUUUUCGGAUCGUAAAACUCUGUUGGUAGAGAAGAACGUUGGUGAGAGUGGAAAGCUCAUCAAAGUGACGGAACUACCCCAGAA
rnacentral:rRNA from 1 species